UACGUAGGGGGCAAGCGUUGUCCGGAAUCAUUGGGCGUAAAGAGCGUGUAGGCGGCUCGGUAAGUCCGCUGUGAAAGUCCAGGGCUCAACCCUGGAAUGCCGGUGGAAACUGUCGAGCUAGAGUCCGGAAGAGGCGAGUGGAAUUCCUGGUGUAGCGGUGAAAUGCGUAGAUAUCGGGAGGAACACCAGUGGCGAAGGCGACUACCUGGCCUGUUCUUGACGCUGAGGCGCGAAAGCUAGGGGAGCAAACGGG
rnacentral:rRNA from 1 species